ACGGCCAUAUAAUGUUGAAACAAAGGUUCCCGUACGAUCACCGAAGUUAAGCAUCAUCAAGCUUGUUAGUACCUAGGUUGGCGACCGCUUUGGAAUACAAAGUGCU